AAUAAUAAUACCUAGCAUUGAUUGAACACUUCCUGGGUACCAGACACUGUAUGAAGCAACUUAUAUGUACCAUGCCAUUUAAUCCUCACAAUCAUAACCUUGAGAAGUAUGGGAUUAAAAACCCUUUUAUCUUUAUUUAACAGAUGAGGAAAAUAAAGCACAAAAAAUUAAGUAACUUACCCAAAGUUAUGUAAACACAAGUAGCCUGAGUCCAGAACCCAUUCUCCUUAACCAUCAGUCAACCUAUAAAGUAGUAAGAGAUAAUGAAAUUUUUUUUAUGUUUAUUUAUUUUUGAGAGAGAGAGAGAGAGAGUAGGGGAGGGGCAGAAAGAGAGGGAGGCACAGAAUCUGAAGCAGGCUCCAGGCUCUGAGCUGUCAGAGCCUGACACGAGGCUUGAACUCAUGAACUGUGAGAUCAUGAUCUGAACUGAAGUCAGAGGUUUAACCAACUGAGCCACUGAAUCAAGCAGGUGCCCCUGAAAUGGUUGUUUUUAAGCCACUAACUUUUGUGCUGUUGUUUUUACACAGCAAAUAGAUAAGAGAAAUUCUGAUUCAUAGCAAGUGCUAUGUAACUAUUAGCUAAUAUCAAUGUUAUUAUUUUUUUUAAGUUUAUUUAUUUAGGGAGAGAGAGCAUGCAUGAGCCAGGAAGGGUCAGAGAGGGAAAGAGAAUCUCAAGCAGGCUCUGCACUGUCAGUGCACAAGACUUGAUCUCACCAACCAUGAGAUCAUGACCUGAGCCAAAACCCAAGAGUCAAACAUUUAACCAACUUGAGCCACAGAGGUACCCCCUUGAUGUUAUUAUUAUGUAGAUCUUUGAUGCCAAGUUUUGACAUCCAGAUAUGAUCAGUGAAGGGCUGUUAUACGUGCUUGGGUGAGGGGAACAACAUUAAUUAAACAAUACUUAUUAACUUUGCAGUAGAAUAUGGCUUAAAAGAAAUAUUGAUUAGUGCAAGAGAAGUUUUUUUUAAUAUUAAUUUAUUAUCAAAUUGGCUAACACACGUUGUAUAAAGUGUGCUCUUGGUUUGGGGGGUAGAUUCCUGUGGUUCAUCGCUUAUAUACAACACUCAGUGCUCAUCCCAGCUAGUGCCCUCCUCAAUGCCAAUCACCCAUUGUCCCCUCUCUCUCAUCCCCUCAUCAACCUUCAGUUUGUUCUCUGUAUUUAAGAGUCUCUUAUGGCUUGCCUCCCUCUCUCUCUGUAACUAUAUUUUUACCCUUCCCUUCCCUCAUGGUCUUCUGUUAAGAGAAGGUAUUUUUAAGAACUGUUUUGGAAGUUUCACAAAAAUAAAACACAAUACAUUGACAUGCCAAUCAGUGGUCUCAUCAUGCUAAAUUACUUUAUACUGCAAAUACCUGCUGAAGUAUGCAAUUGUAUACUUUCUGUGAUUCAGGAUAUUAGGUCGCCAUUAAUAACUCUUGGUCUUCCAUGUGGUUAAGUCAAAAUUUUACUGGCUUCAUCCCAAUACCUGUGAAAUUUGAUAGCAGAUUUUCUCUGGAAUAACAAUGAAAGCACUAAUUCAUAAUUCUCAAAGUUUAACAAAGAACGAAGAGGUUUGUUUUUGCUCAGACAAGCCCUAGAAUGCUGUUUCCGUAGGCUCUCUGUCUGCUGUUUUCAUUUUUGCUAUCUCUCUCAAGUUAAGAAGGCAUUUGUAUUAGACCAGAAUUUUUAUCUAUUUACUAAAUAAUUGAUUUCACAAUUGCAUGUUUGAUGGCUUGACUCAUUGUGUUAUAAAGAUCUGUGGUUUUAUAAGGAAAUCAGUAGAAAAACAACACAUUUUGCUUUACUGUCUUUCUUACAAAAUAAAUUCAUUUAUUUAAUUGGGGUUGGGGGGGAUUGCAGGGACUAUACUUGGCCAACACUAAAAUCUGUUAUCAUCUCCAUCCAAGAAAGUUAACUGAAGCUGACUUGACUUCUGGGAAGUGCGUUGUAGCUGACAUCUGGGUGUGCCCCAUACCAAAGUGUUAUCAUGAGAGAUUGAUUGGUCCAUCAGGAAUGGAAUUUGAAUCCCCUCAAAGGACUAAAUAAAACAAAAUUAUCUGGACUAUAUUACCUUUUUUGGAGUUAAUAAACUUUACUUUUUUACAGCAUAACUCUCUCUGUUAGUGGGAUGUUAUGUCACAAUUGUCAGUUACUUAUUCUUCCUACCGUAACGAUAUACUAUUCCAGUAACUUCAUCCCAAUGUUUUAAACCUUGUACAUGACAGUACAUUUUAGAAUUACCAUCAUAGCCCCCCCCCCCCAGCAGCGUGCUAAACACAUCUUUGAUGCUCUGAAAAAUGUUCAUAGUUAUAGCAUAAUAUAUCCUUAGGUACCUAUGCUGUGCAAAGCCUUCUAUCCAAAUGCAAAUCUAAUUUUUUUUAAUCAUUGCUUACUUCUUUUAUCUGUCACCCUGCUUUUCUUUUGGGUCUUGAGAAAAAUGAGAUUCUACUCCAAAAAUGCUUUAAGAAUGCUUACUGUGCUAUAAAAGGCAAAGAAGCACUAGUAUCUUUAUAUUUAUGAUUGACAUGUAUAUAAUCUUAAAACACCAUUGACUCCAGAUCUUUUUUAUUUUUCAUGGUGAACACUUGCCAAAGGUAGGAAAAAGAUUAAGGCAUGCAUCUCAUAGAAUGAAUGUAAAUAAUUGCAAAUAUUUCCUAUUCCUUCUCCUACUUAAAUUUGAAAAUCAAAAUUCUUGUAAUCUGGUCAUUGAUAAAAAUGUUGAAAAGGGCAGAACUUCAUAGCAGUCUUGUAAUCUGUGCCUUUUAGGAUAGUGUCACUGUAUUUAGUCAUUAGAUGUGGAAGAUGUAACGGGUAAGAUAAUUUGGAAUCAAAUGCCUAGAAUUGUUGUCUGGGAGCCAAAACAUAACAUGUGCUCUGGAGUCGAAAUAUAACAUGAAGACAGAGUUUAGAGAUAAAGAGGAAUGAUAGUUUUAUUAUUUUGCCAGGCAGAGGAAGUUGCAGCAGGCUAAUGCCUUCAAAACUGUAGACUUGCUCUGGGUAAAAGACUUGAGGGGUUUUGUAGGAAAAUACAGGAUCUGGGAGGUUUGGAUAGGAAUCAGGUUCGUGCUGCCAACCCUGUUCGUUAUGUCUUCAAGGUGGUCCCACGACUAGAGCCAUCUGAAUCUCGUUAUUAAGUAUGCAUUGAAAUCAGUGAGAAGUCAAUAUGGAAAUGGAGUUCAUGGAGCAAAGGAUUCUAGAGAAAAACAAGUGAAAGUGAGGGAGAGGUUUCAAGAAUGAGGAAGAGAAAAUUGUGUUCAGUUUGGUUCAGGCAAGACUUGCUAAAGCAUUAAUGUGUCCAUUUUAAUUUCCAUCCAUCUUUACAUUUCUAUAGCAGUUUCAGAAUGUCAUAUUAAGGAGUUUAGACUAAUAUCAUUUUCUAGUCACAAAGAAGUAUACAAUAGCAUACUCUUGAAUAAGGCAGUGAUGUGAUUGUGUUUCAGAAACUUACAAUGGUGUAGAAGAGGUUCAGGAGGAUUUAGAGGUUGGAGGAACAGAGGCCACCUAGUAGGCUAGUAUGACAGACAAAUGUUGAUUACAGUACUUAGGGAGAGAUCCACAAGGAAAGUUAUCUAUAGCAUGUUUCGCUUAAGCAGGGGUUACAAACUAAUUGCCUACAGAGGCCAACAAAUAAUGCAAAUAGUUAAACAGGUCAAAGGAAGAACAAGUCUAAUGAGGGCAGCCCCCACUCUGCUCCAUCAGUUGUCACCUGGCAGGAAUGCAGGAACAUUGUUACCACAUCUUUCAGUUUUUCAAGAGAAGUUGGAAGUUUAGCCUUUAAAUAGAAUCUCUUCAUUUGUAAAUGUUGGCUUAAUUUAAAAAAAAAAUUCUAGAUGGCUAAAAAAAAAAACAAACAAAAACAUCUACAGCCAGAAGCAGCUAGUAGUAGGAUGCCAGCUUUUACAGCCUGUAGCUUUUAGUUUCUUCUGGCUGUGACUCUUGUUGUGUAGUAUGGUAAGGAAAAGACCUAAGGAUAGGAAUUAGAAAAUUUCUGGUGAAGUACAGUCUGAUAACAUAACUGAGAAAAGAAUGGCAAAUGCAAAACUCAUGACUCUCUUUGUGGGUAGCAAAAGCCAAGAUUUUGUUAACAGCUUGUCCCUAAAGAGCACUUUAUAAAUAGAUUGCUCUGUUUAGGUUAAUUUUGCUUAGGUAGCAUUGUUUCCUUCCUAUUAGUCAGCAUUGUUAGCAUUUUUGAGAAAUCAUGGAUCUGAUGGAGACUUGUGGAGGAGCUGCUGAAUUACAGAAGUUAUUACAGCAAAAUAAAUUAUGUGGUGCUAUAAAUACUUGACUCGGUGACUCAGCAAAUUCCCUUUAUGUCCAAAAGGAAACAUGUUGUACCUAACUCAUGAGGUCUGUUUUUAAUUUCUUCAGCUUCGCAGUUGUUCCUGUUUGUCACUGAUAGAUUUUUACAUGAUGUGAGACACAUAAAGAUAAAGACAUACCACUUUCCGAGGGAGACUUAAGUAUUGGGGAAAUGAAAGCAGUGGUGGGGGGGACCUUUAGUCAUUGGAGUGCUUUUGUAUUGAUGGCAGGGGAUUACCAGGAAGAAGUCAGAGAACCAUCUGGGAUGGCUGUGAGAAACUAGAUAGUUUUAUUAUACUCUUGGUAACAUUUCCAACUAAUAAAAUUAGAAUAAAAAUUUUAAUGUUAGAAGCAAAACCCUAGAAAAUAUGUAAUUAACUUCUUUAGAAUUCAACAAUCAUUCUAUUUAACUCUAACACUCACAUUUAAAAUACUUUAACCAGACAUUUGAGUUGAUGCCAAGAUGUGCCAGAGAUGGUUUCUGCCUUCAAAGACUAUUAGGAGAGAGACUAUAUGUACACAAAAUUUUUAAAUUAUUUAUGUUUAAUUAAAUAAUUGUUCGAUACCUUGUUUAUAAAACCUAGUAAAUUGUUGGUCUUUUAGUAAAUAUUUAUUAUCGUCUGUUAAUGAGCAGGCAAAAAUAGUACUAUGUAGGAACUGAUUUCAUACAUUUUCUUAUAAAACAGUAGAGAAUUGUUUUUAAAACUCUUUGCAUCUUGAUUGUUUUUUGUAAUAAAAAUACUAACACUCCUUACUGCUAUUAAAUAAAGCAUAGUGGCAACUAAAAUCUGUCAAAAACUCUUCCAUCCUGUAUAAUUCUAAAAGGUUCUAACCUUUCAUUUCAGCAUAUUCUUGAACAAAAAUAGCUAAAUGUAAAAAUAGAAUGAAAUAAUUAUUAAAGAAGUAUAAACAAAAUUCCAUAUAAGACAGUAGCUUAGUCUGCUUGGACUGCCAUAACAAAAUACUAUAGACCGUGGUUGAAACACAGACAUUUAUUUUCUAAUGGUUCUGGAGGCUAGAUAUCCAAGAUCAAGGUUCCGGCCAAUUCAGUUUCUAGUUAAGGACUUUCUUUCUGGCUUGCAGCUGCCUUCGUGCUACGUCUUUACAUGAUGUUUCCUCAGUGCAUGGAUACAGUGAAAAAGAGCAGGAGGGAGGGAAAGGGGAAGAGAGAGCACUUUCUGGUAUCUGUUCUUAGAAUGACUCUAAUCCUAUCAUGUCAGGACACCCACCCCCACUUAGGACCCCGUUUAAUUUUAAUUACUUCUUUCAAAUACACUGUAGUGGAAGCUAGGGCUGCAACAUACGAAUUUUAGGGGGACACAAACAGUCCAUUCAUAACAGAUAAGAAAUAGAGAGGAAGCAACCAGAAAGGCAUUUUUGAAAAGGUAGCAUUUGAAUAGGUUCUUGGAGAAUGGGUAGGCUUUUAACCAUUAGCGAUUGGAAGGAGAGAUUCCAAGUGGAAGAAAUAGUUUAACCAGUAUCAUGGCAAUGAGGAAGCAAAGAGUAUAUUCAGCACACAGGAGUCAGCUCUUUCACUUGCAGGAUGACAUCUACACAAGUGAAUAGUACUCAGGAAGUAAAGAGGAUAUGGCCAAAUUAUUUUGUACCUUAUAAAACAUCAUUUUCUGGUUUCAGCACAGCUCUAACUAGUUGUGUGACUUUGGCUAUUCCCCUCUACUUACGUGUGUCUCAGCAUGCCAUUUGUCAAUGGAAAAAUUAUCUCUGGGGUUUCUUUUAAUUUAAUAAAUCUGUACUUCAGAACAAGUGUUUUUUUUUUUUAAGGUAACCAUUGAGACUUUAUUAUAGGCUGUGAGAUCUAACUUCAAAAUGUUAUAGCUGCCUUAUGACAUUAAUAUGCAAACAUGCUAGGAUACACAGAGGUGUGUUAAAUUAUUUCAUCAUUGAGCAAUGGAACACACAGAGUGGAAAUUUCAAAUUUUGCUUAAUACAAAGACAAAUGAAAUUUUGGUGUGAAAUAAAGGAUUAGAUUUUCUCAUUUGAGGGAGGUGUUCUGUGAUCUUAUGAAAUUACUGAGCCUCAGUUGUGUACAAUUAAGAUAAAAUCCUCUGGAUUUUAAGUAAGCGGUUUAAGUUUAACAAGUAUUGUGUGUUUGCGUGUGCCCAUAUGCUUUCAUAUUUGUGCUCUUACACCAGCAGAUGUGCACACUUCUGCAAGUGUUUUGAUGAGAGGCAGAAAAAUCUGCAGCCACUUACCAAUGUUGAAUUGGACUCCUCCCACCUCUGCAUGAAUUGGGAACCUUUUUCUGCAUAUUCCAGGGAGAGAAUAUGGACCUCCCAGGGAGAGUUGACCAGGCAAAUUAAGCAAAUACUUGGUUUCUCCAACCUUGUUCCAUGCCCUUUUUCAAUUUCAUUGGCUCUUUUAUUUUCCCCUGCCUUGGACUUCUGAUUCUUUCAUGACUGCCUUUUCUGCCUUCUUUCAAUUCAUUUGUAGGCACCUGGGUAAGGAAGCCAUAGACUCAUAGGGUUAUUUCCUUUUGAGUAGGAACUAGACCUUAAGCUAUAGGAAUGAAACAUGAACAGUAAAACUCUAUACAAUAAAUGGACAUAGAGCCUGGGGAUAGGGAUAGGGAGAUGAUUUUGUGGUGUUCCUUAAAGCCUUAGAAUGGAAAAUGAUCCCUUGGGGCUUAAAGAACAUUUUCAGUCCUAGAACAGUUUAAUCUAGCUUUACAACUAUUUAUUCUUAACCCUGGACCUGUCUUGGUUAUUUUUAGGCAAAUAAUUACUACUAUUUACUUAUUUUCUAGAAUUCUAGGUUAGUUGUGAGCAAACUUGGAUAACUUUGACCCAAUCUGUAUGAUUCAGUAGAUAAUUCUUCUUUCUGUGAAACGGCUCCUAGGUCAACAGCUUGUUCCUCAUUGCAGAGGCUUAGUUUUAAUGAGUCUUUACAACUUAAAUUAAGAAGCAGGAGAACUAAAGUUGAAGAAGAAUUGUUUUCCUCAACAACAGCAUAUUUCUUUUCAAGAAAUAUAUUUUCUUUCCCCACUAUAUAUAGUCAGCUUAUAAUAAGUUUUGCUUCUCAAAAAUAGGUUGGUCUACCUUUUUCACAUACACAUCCAAGUCAAGAAGGUGUUAUCUUCAUAAUGAACUUAAGCUAGAGCUUAGGUGACUCACCUGAGAAUAUUCUAUCAGUCAGAAACUAUUCAAGGUCCAACCCCGGUAUUUACUGCUCUGUGGCCUCCACUUUGCGGAGGCACCACCUUAAUGAAUCACACUGGCUGUCCGUCACUCAUUCUCUCACGACCACAGUUUCAAAAUAAAACCUUGGAAAAUGGAGGCACUGAAGUAACAGUUGCAGUUACUUCACCCACUGUUGACUGUUCUAUGGAUGCAACCUACAAUUUGAGUCUUUAUUUGGUCGUUGACAAAGGCCUUAAAUUUUUGAGUCAAAACUUCAGUAAAAUUCAGAAAUUUAGGCCCUAAGAUGUUGAUUCUGUUGUUUAUAGGAAAUGCUUUCAAGGCUUACUUUGCUUUUCAUAGUUCUAACAAAAUAAUUUAAUGUGUGUGUUUUUUGGGGGUGGGGUUUUUUGGGUGGUUUUUUGUUUGGGGUUUUUGUUUUGUUUUUUUCUUUUUUUUUUUUCUCUCUGGAAAAGUUGAGUAGAUGGAAACUAUGAAAGGAAAAGAUGUACUACAAAAUUGUAAGUCAAUAGUUCUGUGGUUUCUGCUUUCAUCUAGUAAAAAGAAGAAAAUAGUAUAAGGAAGAAGUUCAUUUUUCUUAGAUUAUUGGUAGUAAAAUUCAAGUUAAAAAUCAGAGUUUGCUAAUUGUGUUUUUCCUCUAGAUUCUCUUUCUCAUCAGAAUAAUCUCUCAAAUAAAGAUAAUAUCUAAAUUUAAUCAGAAGUUUUAACUGUUAAGUUUAAUCAUGCAAGGAAAGAAAUGUGCACUUUCAGGGGAUUCACCUUUGUAGUUUUAUCCUAAUACAGUAGUGACCUGUUACAUGUAUGUUAGAGCUGGAUGGCCAUAGUCAGCUUUCUAGGUGCCUAGCCUGCCUUGCUGCCUCUGCAGGCCACUAAAACUGCUUACUGUUUUACCCAAGCAGGUGCUUAAUUUUUCCAGCAUAUCCAUGACUUCCCACAUAGGCUUUUAGCUAUUGUACUAUUACCUUGUACAACUAUGCUACUGCCUGCACUAUGUCUUUGAACCCCUGGCUGCUGCUUUUUAUUAAAUAGAUAUGAAGUGUCAGGUUGCUAUGCUAAGUGUUUUACACAUUGAAUCUUGCCACCCCCAUGGGGCAGAGCUACCCUUAAAUGAAGCUAGCACAGUAUACCAUAAUCUUAGCUUUGCUUCCGUAAUGUAUCUUCUGAAUUAUCAGACAGUGGUAAAUGACUACAGCUACCGUUCAUAACUAAGCUUAUUUUUUUUUCUUUUUUACUGUGGUAAGACAUACAUAACAUAAAAUUUACCAUCCUGACCAUUUUUAAGUGUACAGUCCAGUGGUAUUAAAUACAUCCACAUUGAUGUGCAACCACGGUCACCAUACAUCCCCAUAACUCUUCUCAAGUCGUAAAACUGAAUUUCUGUACCUAUUAAACAAUAAUUCCCCAUUCUUCUUCCCCCAGCCCCUGGCAACUACCAUUAUACUUUUUGUCUUUACAAUUUUGACUACUCUAAGUACCUCAUGUCAGUGGAAUCAUACAGUAUUUGUCUUUCUGUAACUGGCUUAUUUCACUAAUCAUAGUGUCCUUAAGGUUUAUACAUGUUACAGCAUAUUGCAGAAUUUCCUUCCAUUUUAAGGCUGAGUAAUAUUCCAUUAGUAUGUCUAUAUCACAUUUUGCUUAUCCAUGUAUCCAGUCGAUGGACACUUGUGUUUCUUCCACAGUUUAGCUAUUAUGAAUAAUGCCGCUAUGAACAUGGGUAUACAAAUAUCUUUUUGAGACUCUGCUUUCAAUUCUUUUGAAGUAGAAGUGUUAGAUUGUAUGGUAAUUCUUUUUCUAAGUUUUUGAGAAACCACAAUAUUGUUUUCCACAGUAGCUAUACCAUAUUACAUUCCCACCAGCAAUGCACAAGACUUCCUCUUCUUUAUUUCCUCACCAGCACUUGUUAUUUUCUGGUGUUUUUUUCUAGUUUUAUUGAGAAAUAAUUGACAUAUUUCACUGUAUCAGUUUAAGAUAUAUAACAUGAUUUUUUAUUUAUGCAUUUUUAAAAUUUUUGUAAUGGAAGGAUGGUUGAAUAAAUGUUACAUUAGUGUCAGAUGUACACACAGUGAUUCAGCAUGUCUGCACAUUAUGCUGUGCCACCACAAGCGUAGCCACCAUCUGUCAGCGUAUAACACUAUUACAAUACCAUUGACUAUAUUCCUUAUGCUGUAUCUAUUAUCCCCAUGACUUUCAUUCCAUAACUGGAAUUCUCUAUCUCCCAUUCCCCUUCACCCAUUUUACCCAUCCCUCCCACCCUAUUUUCUGGCUUUUUUUUUUUUUAAUAGUACCUAUCCUAAUGGGUGUGAGGUGGUGUUUCAUUGUAGUUUUGAUUUGCAUUUGCCUUAUGAUUAGUGAUGUUCAGCAUCUUUUCAUAUGCUUAUUGGCCAUUUGUUUAUCUUCUGUGAAGAAAUGUCCACUCAAGUCCUUUGUCCAUUUUUGAAUCAGGGUGGGGUUUGUUAUUUUUCGUCUUAGAAGUUCUCUGUAUAUUCUGAAUAUUAAUCAGAUACGUGAUUUAUAAUAUUUACCAGAAUAUGCUUAUCAUGUAUAUGAUUUGCAAAUACUUUCUCCCAUUCUGUGGGUUGCCUUUUUACUCUGCAAGUAGUGUGUUUGGGUGCACAAAAUCUUUAUUAUUUCUUUUUUUUUUUUUUAAGUGUACUUACUUAGAGAGAGAGCACAAGGAGGGGAGAGGCAGAGAGAGAGCACAAGCAGGGGAGAGGCAGAGAGAGAGGGAGAGAGAGAGAAUCUCAAGCAAGCUCUGCAUUGUCAGCGUGGAGCCCAACACGGGGCUCAAACACAUGAACCAUGAGAUCAUGACCUGAGCCAAAACCAGGAGUCAGACACUUAACUGACGGAGCCACCAGGCGCCCCUUUGGAUGCCAAAAAUUUUUAAUUUUCAUGAAGUACUAUUUGUCUGUUUUUCCUUUUGUUGUUAUGCCUUUAGUGUCCUAUCCAAGAAAUCAUUGCCAAAUCCAAUGUCCUAUUAUUUUUAUACUGUACUAAUCCCCCCACUUUAGACCUUAGUGGCACACUAUAAAAAUUGCUUUAUAGUGAUUGCUUCAGAUCACUGAAAAUACACCCCAAGUCCUAGAAAGGUAGUUUUCCCUUAAUCUCUGAUAAAGUGGACUCCAAGAAGUGUGAGCUAUUUUCACAGUGGCUACCCUAUUAUUUUUAUCUAGGAACAAUAUUCAUUUUCAUCAAUGGAUAAAUAAAGGUUACUUUAGAACAUGUGCUAUUUGGAGGCGCCUGGGUGGCUCAGUCGGUUAAGCGGCCGACUUCGGCUCAGGUCAUGAUCUCACGGUCUGUGAGUUCAAGCCCCGUGUUGGGCUCUGUGCUGACAGCUCAGAGCCUGGAGCCUGUUUCAGAUUCUGUGUCUCCCUCUCUCUGACCCUCCCCCGUUCAUGCUCUGUCUCUCUCUGUCUCAAAAAUAAAUAAACGUUAAAAAAAUUAAAAAAAAAAAAAAAAGAAGAACAUGUGCUAUUUGGAGUAAAUAUAUAGCCUCUUUGUAUUUGUCACUUCAUCUCUGGAAUCUGCCAAGCCAAAAGGGCCUGGGCAUUGGAACCAUUAAUUCAUGCCUCUUCCACCCUCACUCAUAACACCAUUGCCUUGUUUUGAAUUUGCAACUGUCCCACUUGCUGGUUAUAAUGUAUUAUCCUCUUAAGAUAUGCUAGAUUUGAUUUGCUAAAAUUGUGUUUAGAAUUUUUGCAUCUAUAUUCAUGCAGCAUAUUGAUAUAAUUUUGUAAUGUCUUCUGGUUUUUUAAUCAGAGAUAACACACUCAUAGAAUGAGUUGAGAGAUAUACAGUCUUCUUUAAUUAUUUGGAAGAGUUUGUGUUGAAUUGAUGCAAGUUCCUUCUUAAGUGUUUGAGAGAGUUUUUAGUGGAGCCAUUUGUGUUGGGGGCUUUCUUUGUGAGAAGACUUUUUACUACAAUUUCAAUGUCUCUAAUAGAUAGGGGCCUAUUCAAGUUAUGUUUCCUCUUGAGUGAGGUUUGGUAGUUUAUUUCUUAAGGAGUUUGUCCAUUUCAUCUAAGUAGUCAAUAUUGUUGACAUAAAGCUGUUCAUAUUUCUUUAUGAUUUGUUUUAAAUAUCUGUAGAAUCUUUAGUAAUGUUACUUGUGACAUUGGUAAUUUUGUCUUUAUUUCUAAUCAGUCUGACUAAAGGUUUAUUAAUUUUAUGAAUCUCAAAGAACCAGCUUUUGGUUUUAUUGGUAUUUUUUACUUUUCUAUUUUCUGUUUCACUGAUGAUUGCUGUAACCUUAAUUCCCUUCUUUUGCUUGCUUUGACUUUAAUUUGCUUUUUUUUUUCUUCUAAUUUUUCUAAGUAUAAGCUGAGGUCAUUGAUUUGAGACAAUUCUUCUUUUCUCUCACAGGCAUUUAGUGCUGUAAAUCUUCCCCAAAGAAAUGGUUAGUGCCAUCCCACAAAUUCUGAUAUGUUUCACUUUCAUUUAGUGCAAAGUACUUCCUAAUUUCCCCUUUUAUUUCUUCUUUGAUCCAUGAAUUAUUUAGUUUCUAUAUUUGGAGAUUUUUCUAGCUAACUUUCUGUUAUUGAUUUCUUUUUUUUUUUAUUAUUUAAAUUCAAGUUAGUUAACAUACAGUGUAGUAUUGGUUUUGGGAGUAGAAUCCAGUGAUUCAUCACUUACAUAUGACACCCAGUGCUCAUCCCAACAGGUGCCCUCCUUAAUGCCCAUCACCCAGUUAGCCCAUCUCCCUAUUCACCUCCCCUCUAGCAACACCCAGUUUGUUCUCUGUAUUUAAGAGUUUCUUAUGAUUUGCCUCCCUCUGAUUUUAUGUUAUUUUUCCUUCCCUUCCCCUAUGUUCAUCUAUUAUGCUUCUUAAAUUCCACAUAUGAGUGAAAUCAUAUGAUACGUGUCUUUCUCUGCCUGGUUUAUUUCGUUUAGCAUAAUACACUUCUAAUUUAAUUCCAUUUUGGUCAGAGAAUAUAUUUUGUGUGAUUUGAAUCCCUUUAAAAAAUACAUAUGUAUAUUUUAAUUUUUUAAUUUUAUUUAAAUCCAAGUUAGUUAACAUGUACUGUAAUAAUUAUUUCAGGAGUAGAAUUUAGUGAUUCAUCACUUACAUAUAGCACCCAGUGCUCAUCCCAACAAGUGCCCUCCUUAAGAUUUAUUUUAUCACCCACCAUGCAGGUUUUCUUAGUAAAUGUUUUGUAUGCAUUUGAAAAGCAUGGAUAUUUUGCUAUUGUGCUAUUAAAAAAUCAAAUCAGGUUAAGUUAGUUGAUAGUAUAUCCUUCCUGAUUAUUUUUUUCUUACAUUUCUAGUAUUUAGAGAGAUUAAAAUCUCCAACUAUAGUUGUGUAUUUAUUUCUCCUUGCCUUUCUAUCAGAUUUCAUUCAUGUAUUCUAAAGCUUUCUUAUUUAAUACAUAAGUACUUUGGGUUUUAUGUCUUCUUGAUUAAUUCUUUACCAUUAGAAAAUUAUCUUUAUUUGCACUAAUAUUCUUUACUUUGAAAUCUAAAUCUUCUAUUAACAUAGCCACUCCAGUUUUCUUUUGACUAGUGUCAGCAUACUAUAUCAUUUUUGUCUUUUUUUUUAAGUAAACUUGUAUUUUAGAGUAUUUGCACAUUUACCGAAAGUUGCAAAGGUAACAGGUAGUUUCCACACAUCCUCACCCAGCUCUUCUUGUCAGCAACCUUUUUCUAAUGUUUUAUUGAGAUGUAAUUCACAUGCCAUAUACAAUUCAUCCAUUUAAACUAUACAAUUCAGUGGUUUUUAGAUACUUUCUUCCAUCACAAUCAAUUAAAAAAAUUUUUUUAUUUGAGUAUAGUUGACACACAGUGUUAUUAGUUUCAGGUGUACACCACAAUCAAUUUUAAAGCAUUUUCAUUACCACAAAAAGAAACACCAUAGCCAUUAGUUGUCACUACCCAUUCCACCAUUCCCCGAGCCUUGUGCUAUCACUAAUCUACUUUCUGCCUCUAUGGAUUUGCGUGUUCUGGACAUUUCAUUUGUAUGAAUGAAAUUUUACAACAUGUGAUCUUUCAUGACCAGCUUCUUUCACUUAGCAUAAUGUUAUCAAGUUUCAUCCAUGGUAUAUAGCAUGUAUCAGUAUCUCAUAUGUUUUAUUGCCACAUAAUAUUACAUUGCAAGUCUGUACCAUAUUUAUUCAUCAACUGAUGAAUAUUUGAGUUGUUUCCAUUUUUUAAUUAAGAUAUCAUUCAUGUACCAUAAAAUUCACUUUUUUAAAGUGUGAAGGGGGCUUUUCCUUCUCUAAGUAGUGUGGCGUUUCAGCUUAUCGGUUCUUCAGAAUUUGCUACUGCUUAUAAAUCCACUUCAUGACUUCUAAAAUUUUAUUAAUCUCCCUCAUCUCUUGUCUUUUUUCUCAUUCUCUUUGCUCUUGUAUGUUUUGCCAUUUUUUUCCUUUUGUGGUCAUUUCAGUGGGGUUUGAGGAACAAAAGACUAUUCAGUCUGCCACACUUACUAUUUUUUUUUAAUUUUUGAGAGAGAGACAGAGACAGAGAGACAGAACGUGAGUCCAGGGGUGAGCGGCAGGGAAGAGCGGGAGACACAGAAUAUGAAGCAGGUUCCAGGUGCUGAGCUGUCACUACAGAGGCCAACGUCGGGCUCAAACCCAUGAACCGUGAGAUCAUGACCUGAGCUGAAGUCGGACAUUUAACUGACUGAGCCACCCAGGCACCCCUAAUCUGCCAUAUUUAAUAAAAAGAGCCCUUAAAAUUAUUUUUGAAGAAGGAAAAUAAAUUGUCAAAAUUCUACUACUUUUACUUCAUUUUCAUUUUGCCUUUUUCCUCCCACUCUUUGUAUACUUAUGGAUACAAUCAUAGCAUAUUUGGCUGAUUUUCUUAAAUGUAGCAUAAGUACUUCUUUCAUAUAAGCAUCACCAUAUAACUACUUUAAUGGCAGAAUAAUAUUCUUUGGUGUUAAUAAUGUUCUGUCAUUUACCUAACCUUCCUUCUCCAUUGUUAGGCAUUAAAACUGCUAACUUUGGAGGGGGUAUAGCUAUUAAAGAUAACGCCAUAAUAAACAUUUUUGUUGAGCUUUUAGGGCAUUUGCAAGUACACAUAGUGAGAUCUGUGACUCACCAAAUUCCUCAAUUUCCUGUGCUGGGACCCACGGAUGCUUUUCUUCUUCCGUUCCUUUUGUAGUCACACCUCAGAAAAAACACCUUGAUGUGUAUCUACUCACUUCUUUGCUGACUAUGUUCUCCCAAUCAGGCCCUUAAUCUUCCUGAUUUACGGUGCUGUUAUAAACAACAUUAUGAGGUGCAUCAGUCUUCACAUGUGGAGUUCUUAUCUCUCCAUAUAGAUUAUAAGCACUUUGUAGACAGAGGUCCCAUAGUGCUUGGUAUUGAGUUAAUGAAAAGCACGAAUUUACAGUAAACACUUAUGGAUAGAUUAUUUUGCUUUGUUCCUAAACAGGUUUAAGAAUACUUAAAUAUGUUUUAAAAUCCAUGAGUUCAGGGGUGUCUGGAUGGCUCAGUCGGUUAAGUGUCUGACUCUUGAUUUUAGCUCAGGUCAUGAUCUCACAGUACAUUGGUUCAAACCCAACAUCAGGCUCCGUGCUGACAGUGUGGAACCUGCAUGAGAUUCUCUCUCUCCGUCUCUCUCUCUGUCCUUCCCAUGCUCUCUCUCUCUCUCUCUCUCUCAAAAUAAAUAAACUUUAAAAAUCCAUGAGUUCAGAAAAAUAUGAAUAAAAAAAGAAAAACUGGUCAACUGUGAUGGAUGCUAGAAAAUAAUGCAUUGUUUUUAAAACUGAUAAAUGAAGGGAUAAAAUCUUGUAUUUAUCUGGUACAAAUUACAUGUUCAGGUCACCAAACAGUUGAUGAAUAGGAAAUUUCUCUUUACAGAAAUACUCUAAUAAAUGAGGAAAUGAUGCUAGAAUGAGAAUAUCACUAUUUGAUUAUUCCUAAUGAUUAAUGAAUAAGCAUUGACCAUAAACAACCUUUAACAUCACAAAAAAGAAACAACCAUAUAUAGUAAUACCAUCCAUGAAGUAUUCUUGCCAAACAGUCAAGCCUGAAUCCCAUCAAGCCUCUAGAUCCAACUGCUACUUUUCAGGAAGUACAGAGGACAAAAGAGUAUGUCAUAUGACACCACUGGGAUGUAGUCAACAACCACCAGACUAAUGGAAACUAUUGAAUAAAUGAUCCAGUUUCUUCAACAAAUAGAUUGCAAGUGAGAGGGAAAGUAAGAGAGAGAGGGGCACCUGGGUGGCUCAUCAGUAAAGCAUCCAACUUUUGAUUUCACCUCAAGUGAGGAUCUCACAGUCAUGGGAUCGAGCCCUGCAUCAGGCUCUGCACUGAGCAUGGAGCCUGCUUAAUAUUUUCUUCUCUCCCCCUCAGUCCCUCUCCCCUGUUUUCAUUCUCUUUCUCUCUCUCUCUCUCUCUCUCUCUCUCUCUGUCUCUCUCAAAAAAAAAAAAAAACAGAAAAGAGAGAGAAAGAGAUAGGUGGUAAAGGAACCUAUAGAUUAAAACUUAACUCAGAGAUAUAACUAAUAGUAAUAUAUGGACCAUAUUUGGGUCCUUCCUGAAUCAAACUAAUUGUGAAAAAAAAAAAACAAAGAAAAA